CCAUCGCCCAUAUACUAGAAUUGCUCUACUCUCUAUUCCCAUAUUAUCACUCACUGUUAUCUUACCUUUAAUAUUGUUCUUAUUCGAUUCUACCAUCUUUCCUAUUUACACUUAUUUACUUUUCUUGGUUAAGUUAGAGCGUAGAUCAGUUCUCCCGUUUCCUUGUGGAUACGAUAAAACCUUUAACCGGGUAAAAGCUUCAACGGUAUCCGUGCGCUUGCGGAUUAUCUGUGUGCGUAUAAAUACCAUAGUACACUCUAGUGCCAUGCUGGGGAUGACAACCUAGUAUUCAAGUGGUGUUAGCAAGUGUCAACAGGCCGCACAACGGUUCUUCUCAGAAGUCUCGCGAUGCUUAGCCUUCCUCGCACUCUUCGCUUUCUUCUCCUCUUUGGCCUUUUUCUGUUCCUCAUUCCAGGCCCGGUUUCUGCCCUAGAGCUCCUUGUCCUCCGGGACUGGGGGCAGGGAGUCCUUGACGACCCCCAUCCCCUACAAAUGAACAGAAAAUCAAGAUCAAAGCGAGGAAAGAGGGAAACCAGCACAAGGUCAGAGAUAAAGGCGGCAUCUUACUAGAGAAAUCUAACCUCUGUUAGGGCGCAUCGGCGCCACCUGAGAGUCCUUCAGAUCCGAGUGUAUAGUCCUCGAGAUCUGGGUGGUUAUCUCCGUUGCAGACACUAGCGCCUCCAGCAUCCGCGCCCCGACCCAGGGGGUCUCCCGGGUCAUCUCCCACAUGAACACAUUCCGCUGCGUCAGUGGCAGUAGGCUCCGCUUGUGGAAAGCCACUGCCACCGUCGCCGCGGUAACCCCGGCGUGGCGGAGCUUCACGAGGCCUGCGAGAAGGACGUCGAGCCUCUUCUGCUCGUCCGCAGGGGCGCCCCACCCCCACUUCACGGGGCACUCAACCACCAUCCUACCGGUGUACUCCGGGAGCAGCCCGCCGUUGUUCCGAAGGUAGAACCAUCUGUUCUGCCACCCCCGGUUCGACGAAGGCAUGUUGCUUCGGAUAUACAGGUGGGAGCGUGACUGAUGGAGUUGCAACGUGCAACCGCCGGCCCGCAGGGGCCUCUUCUCCCCUCCCUCGUUGCGGGAGGACAUCUCCGCCAUGAAGAGGUGGAGCCAGAGGUUCCAGUGAGGAGGGACCCCCCAGGAACCCCUCGCACACCUUGGCGAAGACAGUCGCCUGCAUCAUGGAGUUGGGGUUAAGGUUGUGCAGCUCCACUUCGUAGUAGUGGAGGAUGGCUCAGAUGAGCCUAUCGCCGGGCGUUCCAAACCCCCGUUCCAGGAAUGACAGGAAGCAAACCACAUAGCCCGGAGGCGGGUUUUGCUCCCUGUUGUUCGCCGGGGGAACGAUCCACUCCGGAGCCCCCUCGUCCGUAAUAGGACAGAGAAGUCCGUUCUUCACUCGCGCAUCCAGCGCAGCCCUGGUUGUGUUGCAGGGAUACCAUGCGUUGUCGCCGGCCAUGUCAGCAAGGAGGAUUGGGCGCUUAGAGGAAAGAUGGGCGACGGUAGAAGAUUUGGGAGGCAAAGACGGCAGAUGAACAAGGGCAGGUAAAAAGGGUAAAGGACCCCCGCGGUAGCUUUUAUAGAAGGAGCGUGCCGCGGCUUCACCUCCCAUGCAGCAGAUCAACGAGGAAAAGGGCAACCGUUGUCCCCGUGUUAACCAGGUGAAAAACUCGAAGCGACCACUUCUCCCGAUUCUCACGCCCACUGCGCCCACGCGCGCAUUAAAUUCACAGGUGAGGCGUCACAUCCGGCUCAGGCACAACGGCACGGCUGUUCCGGCUCCCCAUGUGAGUCGCCUCAAAAGGAGCGCCCUGAGAAGCUAUGUUAAGGCAGUUCCUUCUAGGGUAAGUGGUACCCGACCCCCUGCUACGCCCGAGCCAAGCAGCAAGGUGGUUCCUUCUAGGGCAAGCUCCAUCUCGCCCGACCCCCCUGCUGCAACCAGACCGAAACCUCUCAAGGUAAAAAUCCCUAGGCUAUGGCCACCUACGUUCUAGAGGUUGCGAAACUGACCCACCAAAUGGGUUCGAACAGUCGCCUCAGGAUGACCGAGCAAGGGAUGACUGAGGAUGAGCACAAUAGAGGCCAUGAUCCGAGCCCCCUAGGGGAUCGGCGCAUCUUUGCCAGUCGUAUCCGAGACCCAUGCGGGUGUCGCGCGAGUGGGAUCCCAUCGAGGGAGGCACCGAGCCCUCGGAACCUAUCAAACGGUUCUGACAUCCACCGUGACUGCCCUCGGGUAUUUUGAGAUGUGCCCAUAGGGCCACCAGCCGACCCCUUGUUGACGGUCCUUAAGUAUCAAAUUUAACUAUCAAAUAAACAAAGAAAAGGAUCCAAAUGAAAUCAACAUCGAGACUUAGGGUUUUAUCUGACAGAAUUCCACGAGUUUUGGUGUUUGUCUAUUUCUGCAGGGGGUUAUCAGGAAAUAAGGAAGAAAGGCCCACACGUCGGGAUUACAUAGAGAUAUCAACGUGCCGCGCAAUUAUCUUACAUCUAGAAGACUCCAGAAGCCACGGGAAGGAAGCGGAGACCGAACGGAGUCAGGGACAGGGCGCCCGCCCAAGUCCUUAGGGCGCCCGCCCACCUUUUUCGGCCAAUCACGCUCAAUCUCGCGGAUUAUGCUCCACCGACCUAAAGGAUCAAGAAUAACCGUUCAAUCAAUGUCGGUUUGAUCCGACGGCCCAGGUUCACUUGAGGGGACUAUAAAACUAGACCCCCUGGCCCCUGGAGGAGGAACCCCUUGAUCAUUAUUCAUUAUUCAUAGACAGAGCAAAAGCUAGGGUUUAGAGAUGGGAGCUCUCCUCUCUUCUCUAAACUAGAGUAGAUCUAGAUAGUAGCAAGAUGGAGAGCGAAGGAGGAUUAGAGGAGAGGCCGGCCUGUCAGUUCUUCCUCCGGUUGUACUUCGCCAUGAUCAAGCUCUAAUCAAGCUUGCUCAUGGGAUGACUCUGGUAAUCUACUUCUAAUUCAUUAUGCAAUUACUAAUCAUGUAUGUUCUGGUUCACAACUCUUUUGAGUACUUCUAAUCUAUAGGACCCUAUAGGUUAGAGUUGUAGUAUAGGUGUAAGCGUGGUGCUUAGACCUAGAUUACUUGUGGAUAUCCCCUGACUAGCUGGAUCGUGUGGUAGGCCGCGUAGGUGACAGUUACGUUGGUCCCCUGUAGUCCACCUCUCGUUAGCAGGACGGGUAGGGUUUAUCAGCCUAUGGAUAAGCAUCCUUUGUGGUGUACUCUUAUCACGUGGUUCGUCCCAGACAUAGACAUACCGCUUUGAAGUAGAGAAACCAUAGUUAUCCUCUCUAUUCUGCUACCAUCGUCCAUAUACUAGAAUUGCUCUAUUCUCUAUUCCCAUAUUAUCACUCACUGUUAUCUUACCUUUAAUAUUGUUCUUAUUCGAUUCUAUCAUCUUUCCUAUUUACACCUAUCUAUCUAUCUUGGUUAAGUUAGAGCGUAGUUGGUUCUCCCGUUUCCCUGUGGAUAUGAUAAAACCUUUAACCGGGUAAAAGCUUCAACGGUAUCCGUGCGCUUGCGGAUUAUCUGUGUGCGUAUAAAUACCAUAGUACACUCUAGUGCCAUGCUGGGGAUGACAACCUAGUAUUCAAGUGGUGUUAGCAAGUGUCAACAAGCAUUUUUGGCGCCGUUGCCAGGGAAACGGUUGCUGAGUUGACUACGAACUAGUUUAAUCAUUUUAUAAAAAAUAAAUAAAAAAAAAUUAUUUUCCUUUUAUCCUUUGCCUCAUCUCUGCUAUUCUUUCUUCUUAUCUAAUCCCUGAUCUCUGGUCUAUUAUGAAUUCAAACAUGUCUAUCUAUGAAUUUCAUAGACCUACGGGCACACAUCUCGAACCACCAAAAUCUUCAAAGCCUAUCAUAGCAUCUAGUUUUGAGAUAGACCCCGAAUACAUAGAAUUUAUUCAAAAACAACCUUUCUCAGGAGAAGGUGAGGAAAACCCAUACACACACCUAAG
rnacentral:lncRNA from 1 species